CCAGGCAGGGAAGCCCCCCAUCCAGGACCUCUUCACAGACCUGUGUGAUGGCCGUCGCCUGCUGGAGCUGCUGGAGGGACUGGCAGGGCACGAGCUGGUGAAAGAGAGAGGAGUCACGCGCCUCCACUCACUAAACAAUGUUAAUAGAGCUCUGCAGAUCCUACAGAAGAACAAUGUUGAACUGGUGAAUAUAGGAGGAGCCGACAUUGUUGAUGGGAAUCAUAAACUGAUUCUUGGACUCAUUUGGAGCAUAAUUCUCCACUGGCAGGUCAGUUAGUCACCCUGUGUGUUGACC